rnacentral:rRNA from 1 species
CAAUAGCGUAUAUUAAAGUUGUUGCAGUUAAAAAGCUCGUAGUUGGAUUUCUGUCGGUAGUAGUUUGGCUGCUCCGUGUGGGUAUGCCUACCGCUAUCGUCAUCCUUCUGUUAACGGUUCUGGCCUUCAUUGGUUGGUUCCGGGCUCAGAUACUUUACCUUGAGAAAAUUAGAGUGUUUCAGGCAGGCUUGCGCUUGAAUACAUUAGCAUGGAAUAAUAGAAUAGGACCCCGUCUCAUUUUGUUGGUUUAUGAACGGAGUAAUGAUUAAUAGGGAUAGGUGGAGGCAUUAGUAUUUCAAUGUCAGAGGUGAAAUUCUUUGAUUUUUGAAAGACUAACUUAUGCGAAAGCAUUUGCCAAGAAUGUUUUCAUUGA